rnacentral:rRNA from 1 species
AUUGAACGCUGGCGGCAUGCCUUACACAUGCAAGUCGAACGGCAGCACGGGAGCAAUCCUGGUGGCGAGUGGCGAACGGGUGAGUAAUAUAUCGGAACGUGCCCAGUAGUGGGGGAUGGCCCGGCGAAAGCCGGAUUAAUACCGCAUACGACCUGAGGGUGAAAGCGGGGGAUCGCAAGAACUCGAGCUAUUGGAGCGGCCGAUGUCGGAUUAGCUUGUUGGUGGGGUAAAAGCCUACCAAGGCGACGAUCUGUAGCUGGUGUGAGAGGACGACCAGCCACACUGGGACUGAGACACGGCCCAGACUCCUACGGGAGGCAGCAGUGGGGAAUUUUGGACAAUGGGCGCAAGCCUGAUCCAGCCAUGCCGCGUGCGGGAAGAAGGCCUUCGGGUUGUAAACCGCUUUUGUCAGGGAAGAAACGGCUCUUGAUAAUACCGAGAGCUAAUGACGGUACCUGAAGAAUAAGCACCGGCUAACUACGUGCCAGCCGCCGCCGUAA